UACGUAGGGGGCGAGCGUUGUCCGAAGUUACUGGGCGUAAAGGGCGCGUAGGCGGCCUGCUAAGUCGAACGUGAAAUCCCUGGGCUCAACCCAGGAACUGCGUCCGAUACUGGUUGGCUUGAAUCCGGGAGAGGGAUGUGGAAUUCCAGGUGUAGCGGUGAAAUGCGUAGAUAUUGCUCGGAAGGCCAGAGCCGAAGGGGCCCUACUGGUGCGCAACUGACACUGAGGCACGAAAGCGUGGGGAGCAAACAGG
rnacentral:rRNA from 1 species